AUUGAACGCUGGCGGCAGGCCUAACACAUGCAAGUCGAGCGGAAGAAGGGAGCUUGUUCCUGGAUCCAGCGCGGGACGGGGGAGUAAUGCCUAGGAAUCUGCCUGGUCGUGGGGGAUUACGUCCGGAAACGGGCGCUAAUACUGCAUCCGCCCUGAGUGAGAAAGUGGGGGAUCGUCGGCCUUCACGCUAUCAGAUUAGCCUAGGUCGGGUUGGCUAGUUGGUGGGGUAAAGGCCUACCCACGCGAAGAUCCGUAACUGGUCUGAGGGGAAGAGCAGUCACACUGGAACUGGGGCACGGUCCAGACUCCUACGGGAGGGCGCAGUGGGGAAUAUUGGACAAUUGGCGGAAGCCUUGUCCAACCCUGGCGCGUGUGAUAAGGAGGUCUUCGGAUUUUAAAACUCUUUUAGUUGGGAGGAAAGGAAGUAAGUUAAUACCUUGCUUUAUUGACGUUACCCGCAGAAUAAGCACCGGCUAACUUCGUG
rnacentral:rRNA from 1 species